GAGGAAAGAGGGAGGAGGGAAGAAGACAGGAAAGUCGAGCGAACAGACGAGGAGCUUGCUCCUCUGACGUUAGCGGCGGACGGGUGAGUAACACGUGGAUAACCUACCUAUAAGACUGGGAUAACUUCGGGAAACCGGAGCUAAUACCGGAUAAUAUAUUGAACCGCAUGGUUCAAUAGUGAAAGACGGUUUUGCUGUCACUUAUAGAUGGAUCCGCGCCGCAUUAGCUAGUUGGUAAGGUAACGGCUUACCAAGGCAACGAUGCGUAGCCGACCUGAGAGGGUGCUCGGCCACACUGGAACUGAGACACGGUCCAGACUCCUACGGGAGGCAGCAGUAGGGAAUCUUCCGCAAUGGGCGAAAGCCUGACGGAGCAACGCCGCGUGAGUGAUGAAGGUCUUCGGAUCGUAAAACUCUGUUAUUAGGGAAGAACAAAUGUGUAAGUAACUAUGCACGUCUUGACGGUACCUAAUCAGAAAGCCCCGGCUCCCUACGUC
rnacentral:rRNA from 1 species